UACGUAGGGGGCGAGCGUUGUCCGGAUUUAUUGGGCGUAAAGAGCUCGUAGGCGGUUUGGUAAGUCAGGUGUGAAAUCUCCACGCUCAACGUGGAGGGGCCACCUGAUACUGCCAUGACUGGAGUCCGGUAGAGGAGUGUGGAAUUCCCGGUGUAGCGGUGAAAUGCGCAGAUAUCAGGAGGAACACCGGUGGCGAAGGCGGUUCUCUGGGCAUGAUCUGACGCUGAGGAGCGAAAGUGUGGGGAGCGAACAGG
rnacentral:rRNA from 1 species